rnacentral:rRNA from 1 species
GACGAACGCUGGCGGCGUGCCUAGUGCAUGCAAGUCGAGCGAAGUUUUCUGGUGCUUGCACUAGAAAAACUUAGCGGCGAACGGGUGAGUAACACGUAAAGAACCUGCCUCAUAGACUGGGACAACUAUUGGAAACGAUAGCUAAUACCGGAUAACAGUAUUUCUCGCAUGGGAGAUAUUUAAAAGUUGGUUAUGCUAACACUAUGAGAUGGCUUUGCGGUGCAUUAGCUAGUUGGUGGGGUAAAGGCCCACCAAGGCGACGAUGCAUAGCCGACCUGAGAGGGUGAUCGGCCACACUGGGACUGAGACACGGCCCAGACUCCUACGGGAGGCAGCAGUAGGGAAUCUUCCGCAAUGGGCGAAAGCCUGACGGAGCAACGCCGCGUGAGUGAAGAAGGAUUUCGGUUCGUAAAGCUCUGUUGUUAGGGAAGAA